ensembl:lncRNA
CUGAGCUCUCUGUCUCUCUCUCUCCCCUUCUCUGGAAAUAACCAACAAAACCUUGGGAUUAUGUGUUGCGGGGAGAGAUGUGUUUUCAUCUGAGCUGGGGCUCAGGUUACAGCUGCCAGCUGCAGUCCCUGAACUUUCUCCGGCAGCCCUCUCCACUCUUAAGGCGAAGAAACAAGCUUCCAAGGGAGGAAACGUGGCCAGGAAACUGGGAGGCCCCAUGUUCUCUUUCUUUGCUUGAUUUAUUUUUCCUAAAAAAAAAAAGCCACGCGGCAAAAUAAUCCAUAUGGUUACAGAUAUCCACCUGAAGAUGGCGACAUGGCAGGACAACUGGUAAACCCAAGCUUAAGAAACAGCAUGAAGAGAAGCAGAUCACAGUCUCUCCCGGGCUUGAAAGAUAUCAUGUGGAGGGGAAAAUCACAUAUAUUUGGGGGUGGAGGAAAAGGGACCCUCCUAUACUGUUGGUGGGAAUGCAAAUUGGUACAGCCUCUGUGAAUAACAAUAUGGAGUUUCCUUUAAAAAACGAAAACUAGAGCUAACAUAUGACCCUGCAGCCCUACUCUCGGGCAUGCCUCCGGAGAACACUCUAAUUCGGAAAGACACGUGAACCCAGUGUCCAUGGCGGCGCUGUUUACAAUAGCCAAGAUGUGGAAAUGACUUGGAAGGUGAAUGAAUGGAUCAAGGAGAUGUGGUGUGUACAAUGGACUCGUGCUCAGCCACGAGAAAGAAUGAGAGAACGCCAUUUGCAGCGACACGGAUUGAACUCGAGAUUAUCGUAUGAAGCGAAGGAACAUGGGCUUCUGACGUGGCUCAGUGGUGAAGAAUCCGCCUGCCAAUGCACUGCAGGAGACGUGGAUUCGAUCCCUGGAUCCCUGGGUCGGAAAGAUCUCCUGGAGAAAGAAAUAGCAACCGACUCUAGUACUCUUGCCUGGAGAAUCCCACGCAUGGACAGAGGAGGCUGGUGGGCCCCAGUCCAUGGGGUUUCAAAAAGAGUCGGACGCAGUUUAUCGGCUAAACAACAAGCAGCGCAGGGAACAUCGCUGGAG